rnacentral:lncRNA from 1 species
GCUCCAUCUUGCAUUUUUAUGUUUGAAAUGAUAACUAUGAUAAAGAGUACUUUUUAUAAAGAAAUAACAGUCAAGGAAAUUAACAAAAUGAUUAUAUUCCCUUUAGGAAUACCAAAUACAAUACAUAAUCUGAAAUCUGAAAUGCUCCACAAUCUGAAUUUUUAAUGCAAAUACGAUGCUAUAAGUGGGAAGUUUCCCACCCAAUAUCUAGUGACAGGUCACAGACAAAAUUUAGACACACUAAAAUAUCGCAUAAAAUCACCGUUAUGCUGUGUGUAAGAACACAAAUGAACUUUAUGUUUGGAUUUAGGUCUAAUCCCCAAGAUGGUGUACUGUAUCUACACAAAUAUUCCAGAAUCUGAAAAAGCCCAGUAUCUAAUGCACUUCAACUCCUGAGCAUUUUUGGAUAAGAGAUAAGCAAACUGUAAUCCAUAACAAUCCUCCACACACCACUCCUCCCCCACCCUCCUCUUCCCUUUCCUCCCCCUAUGAGCAUAUGCAUGCUACACAAAUGCGGUACCACUGAGUCACACCCCCGUGACCAACUUUUCUAUUUUUGUAGGUGAGAAAAAGUAAGAACAAGAAUAAAAUUUUAAAAACAAAACAAAACAAAAAAGCAAGCUAACAUACACAUAGAUACAGGCCAAACCAAAAAACUCACUUGUGAUAAAUAAGUGAAGGUAAUAAUCAAGCUGUCUGGGAUAUUUUAAUAAGAACCUAUUGAAAAGCAAUAUACUUCUUGCCACAGUCUCCUGUACCUGUCCUUACUCAAGCUCCCCAGUGUGCAUGUACCCUACCAGCCAAGUAGCUCUCUAUUCAUAUUUUCACAUAUACCAGCAGAGGUUAGCUGAUUUCUGCACAUGAGCAGAUUUCUAUUAUACGUGUUGUUGGAGAUAUAUACAUAUAAUGUGUUUAAGAGAAAGUUAAUAUGUUUGCACACAUUUGUCCAUAGGCAAGUAGCUAUUUAUAGUCCAGUGUCUGCACAUACAAGUGAAUUUUUGUCUGAUUGCAAGUGCUUUGUUUGAGAGAGACUGGGAGCCUCUCUAUUCUUUUGUGGGUAUGGUAGAGCUAUUACAUGUCCAUUUAUCAGUGAGAGUUUAUAUAUUAGAGAGAUUCAUUUCUGUGCCAGGAUGUACAUAUCUGUAUUGUUGAGUGUGCCUAAUCUAUGUGAGGGGAAGUAAGUUGAUUUCUUGUGGUAAAGGAUACUCAUAUAUGUGAGCAAUUUUUUACCUGCAAAUAUAUCUGUAGGUAUCUCAGGGAUUCUGUAUAUACAUACCUAGGAAUCAUGUUUCAAGUGUUUGUGAAUUUGACAGUAUGGGUGAUAUUUAACAUGAAUGGUAGUUUUGUAACAGAGUUUGUAUAUGUGAUGAUGCAGAUGUACUGUUGUGAGAUUUUUGCCUAUGUGGGAGUAUUUAAGCAAUCAGAUAUAUCAGCUCAGUGGCUAUAUAAGAGUCUAUAGGUAAAAUAACAGUUGGUUUGUUUUGUGUUUGAGUGUGUGUGUGUGUGUGUGUGUGUGUGUGUGUGGUAUUAGAACUCUAAGGGAAGGCAGGGUUGUGAGCCAUUACAUAUGUGUAUGUGAAACAGUGUGUCAGUGUCUCUACACUGAAGACCAAUUCUCGGCCCUCACUUAAUGUGCCUUUUAUGUAACAAACUUGUUACAUAAAAUUUGUCCUUUACUAUCUGGAAAUGGAGUGUGUAGACUUCUGCACCUGUCAUUUCAAAAGGAGUCCAUACUAUACCUACAUAAUGUACAUAUUGUAUUAACUAUAAUACAAGUAAGAAAUGAUUUAUAAUAAUUUUAUUUAGAUGUAUAAGUGUUUGGAUGUGACACUCCUCAGGAGAUUCGAGAAAAUAAUUGGACACUUAUAAUAAGUAAAUGUAGUUUAGAAGAAAAAUCAGGCUCAAUGUACAGGAAAAUGAUAAGCAGAGGAUUCAUAUUGAGAUUUUACAAACUAAUGAACUUCACUGAAAAGCAAAAUACAGUCUCCUCUUGAUUCAUAGGACAGCCA